rnacentral:rRNA from 1 species
UACGGAGGGUGCGAGCGUUGUCCGGAAUCACUGGGCGUAAAGGGCGCGUAGGCGGUCUGGUAAGCGUGCGGUGAAAGCCCGGGGCUCAACCCCGGGUCGGCCGUGCGGACUGCGAGACUGGAGCACUGUAGAGGCAGAUGGAAUUCCGGGUGUAGCGGUGGAAUGCGUAGAGAUCCGGAAGAACACCGGUGGCGAAGGCGGUCUGCUGGGCAGUGGCUGACGCUGAUGCGCGACAGCGUGGGGAGCAAACAGG